rnacentral:rRNA from 1 species
AGAGUUUGAUCCUGGCUCAGAUUGAACGCUGGCGGCAUGCCUUACACAUGCAAGUCGGACGGCAGCGCGGGAGCAAUCCUGGCGGCGAGUGGCGAACGGGUGAGUAAUACAUCGGAACAUGUCCAGUAGUGGGGGAUAGCCCGGCGAAAGCCGGAUUAAUACCGCAUACGAUCUACGGAUGAAAGCGGGGGACCUUCGGGCCUCGCGCUAUAGGGUUGGCCGAUGGCUGAUUAGCUAGUUGGUGGGGUAAAGGCCUACCAAGGCGACGAUCAGUAGCUGGUCUGAGAGGACGACCAGCCACACUGGGACUGAGACACGGCCCAGACUCCUACGGGAGGCAGCAGUGGGGAAUUUUGGACAAUGGGCGAAAGCCUGAUCCAGCAAUGCCGCGUGUGUGAAGAAGGCCUUCGGGUUGUGAAGCACUUUUGUCCGGAAAGAAAUCCUUGGCUCUAAUACAGUCGGGGGAUGACGGUGCCGGAAGAAUAAGCACCGGCUAACUACGUGCCAGCAGCCGCGGUAAA